rnacentral:rRNA from 1 species
UACGAAGGACCCGAGCGUUAUCCGGAUUUACUGGGUUUAAAGGGUGCGUAGGUGGACCCAUAAGUCAGUGGUGAAAGCCCCCCGCUUAACGGGGGAACUGCCAUUGAUACUGUGGGUCUUGAGUAUAGUUGAGGUAGGCGGAAUAUGUCAUGUAGUGGUGAAAUACUUAGAUAUGACAUAGAACACCGAUUGCGAAGGCAGCUUGCUAAGCUAUAACUGAAACUGAUGCACGAAAGCGUGGGGAGCAAACAGG